rnacentral:rRNA from 1 species
CCCUUAGAUGUCCUGGGCCGCACGCGCGUUACACUGAUGCAUUCAACGAGCUUAUAACCUUGGCCGAGAGGCCUGGGCAAUCUUGUUAACGUGCAUCGUGAUAGGGAUAGAUUAUUGAAAUUAUUAAUCUUGAACGAGGAAUUCCUAGUAAACGCAGAUCAUCAAUCUGCAUUGAUUACGUCUCUGCCCUUUGUACACACCGCCCGUCGCUACUACCGAUUGAACGUUUUAGUGAGGUAUUUGGACUGGACCUUCGGAGGUUCGCGCCUCCGUUGCUGUUCGGGAAGACUCCCAAACUUGAGCGUUUAGAGGAAGUAAAAGUCGUANCA